GGAGGGAUGGCCGAGUGGUCGAUGGCGGCGGUCUUGAAAACCGUUGAGCCGCGAGGCUCCGUGGGUUCGAAUCCUACUCCCUCCGCCA
rnacentral:tRNA from 1 species